CUUACUGUGUGAACGUCACCAACUACUACUACUGCUACUGCUACUAGUACUGCUAGAAAACAGCAUUGUCAUAUAUCAAUGUGCUAGGAGCGCAUAUAAAAGUUUAUCUCUAUUAACUUGAGUGAACUUAAUCGCUAUUAUGGAUUACAAGGAUAUAGCAAAAAAGCUUCAGAAGGAAAACGAGAAAUUGAAGUACCGCAUUAAUACUUCGAAAAAUGAAAAUGAAAAUUAUCACGUUACUACAACAUCGAAUCGCAGUUGCGAUGACAAGGGGAAGGGUGACAAGAUGGGGAAGGUUGACAUGAAGAAAAUCAAGAAAUUCUAAUGAACCACGAUACUAAGUUUCUUUUUAUAUUAAUCAAUACUUUGAAAUAAUUUUAUGGACAUCUUUACCGCAG